rnacentral:rRNA from 1 species
CGGGGUGCACCAGGCGCGAAAACUGCACAAUGCUGGGAACAGCGAUGCGGGAAUUCCAAGUGCCGGCACAAUGUGUCGGCUGUUCCAUUGUCUAAAAAACAUAGGAAGUAAGGGCUGGGUAAGACGGGUGCCAGCCGCCGCGGUAAUACCUGCAGCCCGAGUGGUGGCCGUUAUUAUUGGGCCUAAAACGUCCGUAGCCGGUUGGGUAGAUGCCUGUGUAAAUCGAACGGCUUAACCGUUCGAACUGCGGGUAGACCGCCCGACUAGGGACCGGGAGAGUCACGAAGUACUCCGGGGGUAGAGGUGAAAUUCUGUAAUCCUCGGGGGACUACCGGUGGCGAAGGCGUCGUGAUAGAACGGCUCCGACGGUGAGGGACGAAGCCCUGGGGCGCAAACCGGAUUAGAUACCCGGGUAGUCCAGGGUGUAAACGCUGCGGUCUUGGUGUCGGCAGUCCUACGUGGGCAGUCGGUGCCGGAGAGAAGUUGUUAAGACCGCUGCCUGGGGAGUACGGCCGCAAGGUUGAAACUUAAAGGAAUUGGCGGGGGAGCAC